rnacentral:rRNA from 1 species
GAUGAACGCUGGCGGCGUGCCUAAUACAUGCAAGUCGAGCGAACAGACGAGGAGCUUGCUCCUCUGACGUUAGCGGCGGACGGGUGAGUAACACGUGGAUAACCUACCUAUAAGACUGGGAUAACUUCGGGAAACCGGAGCUAAUACCGGAUAAUAUAUUGAACCGCGUGGUUCAAUAGUGAAAGACGGUUUUGCUGUCACUUAUAGAUGGAUCCGCGCCGCAUUAGCUAGUUGGUAAGGUAACGGCUUACCAAGGCAACGAUGCGUAGCCGACCUGAGAGGGUGAUCGGCCACACUGGAACUGAGACACGGUCCAGACUCCUACGGGAGGCAGCAGUAGGGAAUCGGCCGCAAUGGGCGAAAGCCUGACGGAGCAACGCCGCGUGAGUGAUGAAGGUCUUCGGAUCGUAAAACUCUGUUAUUAGGGAAGAACAAAUGUGUAAGUAACUAUGCACGUCUUGACGGUACCUAAUCAGAAAGCCACGGCUAACUACGUG